GGCAGUGUGGUACAAUGGGUUGAAGGCUGGACUAUGACUCUGGAGACCAGGGUUCGAUCCCUGUUGGGCCA